AGAGUUUGAUCCUGGCUCAGGACGAACGCUGGCGGCGCGCCUAACACAUGCAAGUCGAACGAGAAAUGAGGAGCUUGCUCUUCAAAUCGAGUGGCGAACGGGUGAGUAACGCGUGAGGAACCUGCCUCAAAGAGGGGGACAACAGUUGGAAACGACUGCUAAUACCGCAUAAGCCCACGGCUCGGCAUCGAGCAGGGGGAAAAGGAGCAAUCCGCUUUGAGAUGGCCUCGCGUCCGAUUAGCUAGUUGGUGAGGUAACGGCCCACCAAGGCGACGAUCGGUAGCCGGACUGAGAGGUUGAACGGCCACAUUGGGACUGAGACACGGCCCAGACUCCUACGGGAGGCAGCAGUGGGGAAUAUUGCACAAUGGGGGAAACCCUGAUGCAGCGACGCCGCGUGGAGGAAGAAGGUCUUCGGAUUGUAAACUCCUGUUGUUGAGGAAGAUAAUGACGGUACUCAACAAGGAAGUGACGGCUAACUACGUGCCAGCAGCCGCGGUAAAACGUAGGUCACAAGCGUUGUCCGGAAUUACUGGGUGUAAAGGGAGCGCAGGCGGGAGAACAAGUUGGAAGUGAAAUCCAUGGGCUCAACCCAUGAACUGCUUUCAAAACUGUUUUUCUUGAGUAGUGCAGAGGUAGGCGGAAUUCCCGGUGUAGCGGUGGAAUGCGUAGAUAUCGGGAGGAACACCAGUGGCGAAGGCGGCCUACUGGGCACCAACUGACGCUGAGGCUCGAAAGUGUGGGUAGCAAACAGGAUUAGAUACCCUGGUAGUCCACACCGUAAACGAUGAUUACUAGGUGUUGGAGGAUUGACCCCUUCAGUGCCGCAGUUAACACAAUAAGUAAUCCACCUGGGGAGUACGACCGCAAGGUUGAAACUCAAAGGAAUUGACGGGGGCCCGCACAAGCAGCGGAGCAUGUGGCUUAAUUCGAAGCAACGCGAAGAACCUUACCAGGGCUUGACAUAUGGGUGAAGCGGGGGAGACCCCGUGGCCGAGAGGAGCCCAUACAGGUGGUGCAUGGCUGUCGUCAGCUCGUGUCGUGAGAUGUUGGGUUAAGUCCCGCAACGAGCGCAACCCCCGCCGCGUGUUGCCAUCGGGUGAUGCCGGGAACCCACGCGGGACCGCCGCCGUCAAGGCGGAGGAGGGCGGGGACGACGUCAAGUCAUCAUGCCCCUUAUGCCCUGGGCUGCACACGUGCUACAAUGGCCGGUACAGAGGGAUGCCACCCCGCGAGGGGGAGCGGAUCCCGGAAAGCCGGCCCCAGUUCGGAUUGGGGGCUGCAACCCGCCACCAUGAAGUCGGAGUUGCUAGUAAUCGCGGAUCAGCAUGCCGCGGUGAAUGCGUUCCCGGGCCUUGACACAAAGCCCGUCA
rnacentral:rRNA from 1 species